rnacentral:rRNA from 1 species
AUUGAACGCUGGCGGCAUGCCUUACACAUGCAAGUCGAACGGCAGCACGGGAGCAAUCCUGGUGGCGAGUGGCGAACGGGUGAGUAAUACAUCGGAACGUACCUGGUAGUGGGGGAUAGCCCGGCGAAAGCCGGAUUAAUACCGCAUACGACCUGAGGGUGAAAGCGGGGGAUCGCAAGACCUCGCGCUAUUGGAGCGGCCGAUGGCAGAUGAGGUAGUUGGUGGGGUAAAGGCCUACCAAGCCUGCGAUCUGUAGCUGGUUUGAGAGGACGACCAGCCACACUGGGACUGAGACACGGCCCAGACUCCUACGGGAGGCAGCAGUGGGGAAUCUUGGACAAUGGGCGCAAGCCUGAUCCAGCCAUGCCGCGUGCGGGAAGAAGGCCUUCGGGUUGUAAACCGCUUUUGUCGGGGAAGAAACGGUGGGAGUUAAUACCUUCUGCUAAUGACGGUACCCGAAGAAUAAGCACCGGCUAACUACGUGCCAGCCGCCGCGGUAAGAC